rnacentral:lncRNA from 1 species
GUUUUGAUGAACUUUUAUUUUCGAAAAAAAGAAAAAAAAGAAAAGAAAGAGAGACCAAGACGACGAGCGCUGUUGGAGCUGCCUGACCCUGGGCACGCGCAGGCGUCCCGCCGCCGGGGAGCUGGUCAAGCCUGCAGCGCCGUGCCGGAGGGGGCCGGGAAGAGCCUGGAGAAGACUGAGCUGCCACCGCCGUUUUCCAGGGAAGGGCUAAGCCCUCUGGUGAGGCGAGGUGCCUCCUGCCCGGGCCACGCUGCGCCGAGGGCGCCCGGGGCGUCGCAGGCAGUGACAUACCUUUUCCUUGUUCGAAGGACAACCCUUGAAACACCACCGGAGAACACCACUGAUGCAAUGGAAGGAGGAGCAACAGUGCAGAAAUGCAGAAGGUCUUAACGCUGCUAGCAGUAAACCCAACCACCACCACCACCAGCCGCCCCGCACGGUGCCCCCAGCGCUGGACUCCCAGCCCCGAGGGAAAGGUGUGCUGCGGCCACCGCCGUGGUCCUGCUGCCGGCCGGCUGGGCUAUUCGUGGGGCAGCCCGCAGAGGCUGGGCCGCAGUGGGACACGGGCACGAGCCGGCUGGGAUGGUGCCCCGGAGGUCACCACCACGAGAUCGUGUCUCUGUACGUGAGCACCAUGUAAAGUGUUGCUCCCUGAAGUCUUAUUUCUACUUUUAUCUUUAGUGGUAAUUCUACUCGUGUAAUUUUCCCCCCUCUCAGCGCAGCUGCCUGGACACAUGCUCUGGCACUUUGUAUUUUUCUUAUUCUCUUCCAAUUCCUCUGAUACAGGAGAAUCAUCUCCUUGUAAGCACUGAUGUAGAGAAUGGUUUAUUGUAUUCUGGAUGACAAAUUAAUUUAAGAUAAUUGUUGGGCAGAUGUUUAAAGCUUCCAAUGUAAAUCAAU